AUAAUUAAAGAAUGAAAGUAAAAUUUUAUCAUAUAUGGCAUCAAAAUAUAAUUUUUUAAAUUUCCCGGUAAACAAUUAAUUUUUCAAUAGUGCCAACUGGCAACCGUAAUGGCGACUCAACAAUAAUUGUCAAAGAGAAACAGAAGGACUUACUUUCUAGAUAAUCUUCAAGAUAUAACAUUUUGAUUAUAAAAUGAUUCGAAGACCUUUAACAGAAAUAACCCUAAAGCUUGAAGAUUUACAAGAAUAUGAAACUUAUAGAAGAGAACAAGCUAAUAAUUCUUCUAUAAGUAAUGAAAUGCAAGAAGAUACUCCUAGAUCUUUAGCUGGUGGGACAAAAACUAUUGAAGAAAUACAUAAUAGAAUCGGUUACGCUCCAAAAAAGAAGCAAGGUCCCAGUACUGUAUAAAUUAAAAUAAAACAAAAUAUAGUCCA